rnacentral:rRNA from 1 species
CGAGAUUCCCCCAGUAGCGGCGAGCGAACGGGGAGCAGCCCAGAGCCUGAAUCAGUGUGUGUGUUAGUGGAAGCGUCUGGAAAGGCGUGCGAUACAGGGUGACAGCCCCGUACACAAAAAUGCACAUGCUGUGAGCUCGAUGAGUAGGGCGGGACACGUGGUAUCCUGUCUGAAUAUGGGGGGACCAUCCUCCAAGGCNANAUACUCNUGACUGA